rnacentral:rRNA from 1 species
UACGUAGGGGCAAGCGUUGUCCGGAUUUAUUGGGCGUAAAGAGCGUGUAGGCGGCUUGGUAGGUCCGCUGUGAAAACUCGAGGCUCAACCUCGAGAUGUCGGCGGAAACCACUUGGCUAGAGUCCGGAAGAGGAGAGUGGAAUUCCCGGUGUAGCGGUGAAAUGACGCAGAUAUCGGGAAGAACACCUAUGGCGAAGGCAGCUCUCUGGGACGGUACUGACGCUGAAGACGCGAAAGCGUGGGGAGCGAACAGG